rnacentral:lncRNA from 1 species
AUUCACAGCAAAGGAAUGCCGAAUGGCUGAGAAACACCAAAAGAAAUGUUCAACAUCUUUAGUCAUAAGGGAAAUGCAAAUCAAAACAAACCUGAGAUUUCACCUCACACUAGUGAGAAUGGCUAAGAUCAAAAACUCAGGUGACAGCAAAUGCUGGUGAGGAUGUGGAGAAAGAGGAACACUCCUUCAUUGUUGGUGGGAUUGCAGACUGGUACAACCAUUCUGGAAAUCAGACUGGAGGUUCCUCAGAAAAUUGGACAUUGAACUACCUGAGAACCCAGCUAUACCUGUCUUGGCCAUAUACCCAAAAGAUGGCCGAACAUAUAACAAAGACACAUGCUCCACUAUGCUCAUAGCAGCCUUAUUUAUAAUAGCCAGAAGCUGGAAAGAACCCAGAUGCCCUUUAACAGAUGAAUGGACACAGAAAAUGUCUUACAUCUACACAAUGGAAUAUUUCUCAGCUAUCAAAACCAUGACUUAUGAAAUUCAUAGGCAAAUGGUCGGAACUGGAAAAUAUCAUCCUGAGUGAGGUAACCCAAUCACAGAAAAAACACACAUGGUAUGCCCUUAUUGAUAAGUGGCUAUUAGCCCAAAUGCUUGAAUUGACGUAGAUGCACAGAACACAUGAAACUCAAGAUGGAUGAACAAAAUGUGAAUGCUUCACUCCUUCUUUAAAAGGGGAAGAAGAAUACCCUUAUCAGGGAAUAGGGAUUCAAAGAUUAAAACAGAGGCAGAAGGAACAGCCAAUCAG